CCUACGGGAGGCAGCAGUGGGGAAUAUUGGACAAUGGGGGGAACCCUGAUCCAGCGACGCCGCGUGAGUGAAGAAGUAUUUCGGUAUGUAAAGCUCUAUCAGCAGGGAAGAAAGAAAUGACGGUACCUGAUUAAGAAGCCCCGGCUAACUACGUGCCAGCAGCCGCGGUAAU
rnacentral:rRNA from 1 species